GUCGGACGGGAUCCAUCGGUAGCUUGCUAUCGAUGGUGAGAGUGGCGCACGGGUGCGUAACGCGUGAGCAACCUGCCUCCAUCAGGGGGAUAGCCUCUCGAAAGAGAGAUUAACACCGCAUAACAUAAUGUUCCGGCAUCGGGAUAUUAUUAAAUAUUUAUAGGAUGGAGAUGGGCUCGCGUGACAUUAGCUAGUUGGUAGGGUAACGGCUUACCAAGGCGACGAUGUCUAGGGGCUCUGAGAGGAGAAUCCCCCACACUGGUACUGAGACACGGACCAGACUCCUACGGGAGGCAGCAGUAAGGAAUAUUGGUCAAUGGGCGGAAGCCUGAACCAGCCAUGCCGCGUGCAGGAUGACUGCCCUAUGGGUUGUAAACUGCUUUUGUCCGGGAAUAAACCUAAAUACGUGUAUUUAGCUGAAUGUACCGGAAGAAUAAGGAUCGGCUAACUCCGUGCCAGCAGCCGCGGUAAUACGGAGGAUCCGAGCGUUAUCCGGAUUUAUUGGGUUUAAAGGGUGCGUAGGCGGCGCGUUAAGUCAGGGGUGAAAUACGGUGGCUCAACCAUCGCAGUGCCUUUGAUACUGACGUGCUUGAAUCCAUAUGAAGUGGGCGGAAUAAGACAAGUAGCGGUGAAAUGCAUAGAUAUGUCUUAGAACUCCGAUUGCGAAG
rnacentral:rRNA from 1 species